AGAGUUUGAUCCUGGCUCAGGAUGAACGCUAGCUACAGGCUUAACACAUGCAAGUCGAGGGGCAGCAUGGUCUUAGCUUGCUAAGGCCGAUGGCGACCGGCGCACGGGUGAGUAACACGUAUCCAACCUGCCGUCUACUCUUGGACAGCCUUCUGAAAGGAAGAUUAAUACAAGAUGGCAUCAUGAGUCCGCAUGUUCACAUGAUUAAAGGUAUUCCGGUAGACGAUGGGGAUGCGUUCCAUUAGAUAGUAGGCGGGGUAACGGCCCACCUAGUCUUCGAUGGAUAGGGGUUCUGAGAGGAAGGUCCCCCACAUUGGAACUGAGACACGGUCCAAACUCCUACGGGAGGCAGCAGUGAGGAAUAUUGGUCAAUGGGCGCAGGCCUGAACCAGCCAAGUAGCGUGAAGGAUGACUGCCCUAUGGGUUGUAAACUUCUUUUAUAAAGGAAUAAAGUCGGGUAUGCAUACCCGUUUGCAUGUACUUUAUGAAUAAGGAUCGGCUAACUCCGUGCCAGCAGCCGCGGUAAUACGGAGGAUCCGAGCGUUAUCCGGAUUUAUUGGGUUUAAAGGGAGCGUAGAUGGAUGUUUAAGUCAGUUGUGAAAGUUUGCGGCUCAACCGUAAAAUUGCAGUUGAUACUGGAUAUCUUGAGUGCAGUUGAGGCAGGCGGAAUUCGUGGUGUAGCGGUGAAAUGCUUAGAUAUCACGAAGAACUCCGAUUGCGAAGGCAGCCUGCUAAGCUGCAACUGACAUUGAGGCUCGAAAGUGUGGGUAUCAAACAGGAUUAGAUACCCUGGUAGUCCACACGGUAAACGAUGAAUACUCGCUGUUUGCGAUAUACAGCAAGCGGCCAAGCGAAAGCGUUAAGUAUUCCACCUGGGGAGUACGCCGGCAACGGUGAAACUCAAAGGAAUUGACGGGGGCCCGCACAAGCGGAGGAACAUGUGGUUUAAUUCGAUGAUACGCGAGGAACCUUACCCGGGCUUAAAUUGCAGAUGAAUUACGGUGAAAGCCGUAAGCCGCAAGGCAUCUGUGAAGGUGCUGCAUGGUUGUCGUCAGCUCGUGCCGUGAGGUGUCGGCUUAAGUGCCAUAACGAGCGCAACCCUUGUUGUCAGUUACUAACAGGUUCCGCUGAGGACUCUGACAAGACUGCCAUCGUAAGAUGUGAGGAAGGUGGGGAUGACGUCAAAUCAGCACGGCCCUUACGUCCGGGGCUACACACGUGUUACAAUGGGGGGUACAGAGGGCCGCUACCACGCGAGUGGAUGCCAAUCCCCAAAACCUCUCUCAGUUCGGACUGGAGUCUGCAACCCGACUCCACGAAGCUGGAUUCGCUAGUAAUCGCGCAUCAGCCACGGCGCGGUGAAUACGUUCCCGGGCCUUGCACACACCGCCCGUCAAG
rnacentral:rRNA from 1 species